rnacentral:rRNA from 1 species
UAGGGAAUCUUCCACAAUGGACGCAAGUCUGAUGGAGCAACGCCGCGUGAGUGAAGAAGGUUUUCGGAUCGUAAAGCUCUGUUGUUGGUGAAGAAGGAUAGAGGCAGUAACUGGUCUUUAUUUGACGGUAAUCAACCAGAAAGUCACGGCUAACUACGUGCCAGCAGCCGCGGUAAUACGUAGGUGGCAAGCGUUGUCCGGAUUUAUUGGGCGUAAAGCGAGCGCAGGCGGAAUGAUAAGUCUGAUGUGAAAGCCCACGGCUCAACCGUGGAACUGCAUCGGAAACUGUCAUUCGGGAGUGCAGAAGAGGAGAGUGGAAUUCCAUGUGUAGCGGUGGAAUGCGUAGAUAUAUGGAAGAACACCAGUGGCGAAGGCGGCUCUCUGGUCUGCAACUGACGCUGAGGCUCGAAAGCAUGGGUAGCGAACAGG